UAAAUCUAAUAUUUUAUUACAAUUAUAGAUCAAAGUAAUUGCAGCAUUGAAUCCUACAGAAGAAGAAUUAGAAACAUUUUGGUAUACAAAUCUUUCAAUACCAGCUGACAACCAGCACCGUAUACUAGACGGCAUUGUCAAUGGUGAAUCCAAUAAUAUAACACAACAAAUUCCAGCUGAUAACAUACAUAUGCAAGAAACAACUAUAUGCACUUCAGCUAGAAUUGGAUCUACUUCUUCUGAUAGCUCACACUAUGUAAUUAGACAAGAUAUGGAUCAGAUGUUCAACAUAUACGGGACAACAAGUACUGUCAGAUGUAUUUGGUUUCUAUGACGAAUUAAAAACGCAAAUGAUUGAAAAAUCAACAAAACAAGAAACUCGCUAGCAUACAAUUCUUAAAAUGCAAGAAGCUCACUGCCAAAUAAUUCUUGAUAAUCAAAAAUAAUUUUUUGAACAUCAGCAAAAAAGCUAACAAAACUAUUUCCAUAGCAUGCAAUCUUAUGUGGAUACCAGUUUCAGUUCAGUCAAAUCUUACAUUGAUGAACAAAAUCAAAGUAUGCAGAAUAAGUUAUUCGAUUGGAAAUCACACAUGGAAACGAUUGUCAGCUCUAUACAAUGAGAUGUGCCGCCUCGUACAAGUCCAAUUGAAUUCAAAAUCCCUUUAGCAUCUGAUCAUGCUGAAGACGUGGAAAGGUCGAUGAAACAAAAAAAAAAGUAAGCAAAAACAAACACAAUCUUCAUCAACAACGCCAACUAAUACUUUUGAAGAAGCCUUCAACAAGUACAAAAACAUUAGAGAAUGGCUAUUACAAAAUCCAUUGGGGUAAGAUAUUCAAUUUUACGUUGCUAACUUAAAUAUUAUAAUUUGUAUUUUACUCAUUUAACACUAAUUAAAAUUUUCUUAUGCGGUGCAUAUUGGAACGAUGGAAUCGACAAUCUAUACGGAAGACAAUCGCUAGAAAAUAUACUAGAUGAAACAAAAAAUAUAAAUAUUGUGGUAAGUAAAAUUUAAUAAUCAUAAUUCAUUUUUCUCCAUUAUUCAUAUAUCGAAUUUACAUUUUUUUACUAGCAUGUUGAUGUAGAAUUAAAACUAUUGAGAAGACUUAUUACCGCCGGCUCUCCUCUGCUUUCUAAAGAAUAUGCAAUCAUGAACCUUAGAUUCGAAACUGAAUGUGUUCAUUGGUAUACAAAUACGAAAGAAGGAAUUGAUCAUUCUACAACUAAUUUCAACGCAUUACAACGAUACAUAAAAGGAGAAUUGCUUGUAUCUGCUCGAUCGUGGAUAACAUACAACUAUUUAUUAAUUCCAUCAGCAUAUUCAGGCAACACUUGGUUUCUUUUUCUUGUUGAUUUUCGAAAGUUGAAAUUUCAUAUAUAUGAUUGCAGCCACAACAUUCAUACAUCGGAAGAAAUCAGAGCACGUGCAGAACCAGUAUUGACGGUAGUGGAAUCAUUAUUAAUCUUUGCAGACAUUUUCUCUAGCAAACCUAGUUUAAGAAAACAUAGAAAUAAACGUAUGCAAUUAAAAAUCAUACCGUAUCUACCUUGUCAAAAGAUUGGGUAAACAUCUCAACAAUUUACCAUGAUAUUUAAUUUUACUUUAUAUUUACAGUAUUAGCAUAAUCUAACUUCAAACUAUUUUUCUAUAGGUCAAAUUCUAGAGUUUUUCUUCUCAAAUACAUAAAAUGCUUCGUUUUUGGAUAUCCAUUGGAAUCAGUUUCGCCAAAGAAGAUAAGUUUAUACAGACAAAAAAUCGCAACAGAUAUCUGUCAGAAUGAAUAUUUUUUACGUCCCCAUUUAUCCUAAUUCUAACGAAUCAUCAAAAUACAAUAAGAUUCUUAAAAUACAGUAAGAUUCCUUUAUCAAAAUUCAAAGUAUAAUCUUAUAUUCAUAACUUUAAAAUUUUUUAUUUCAAAUAUUUUUGUAUAUGAAAAUAAAUGUAGGUUAUUCAAUAACAAAUAUUUGGCACUUCUGGUGAUCUUGCCAACAAAGAAACCUUCCCUGCACUGUUUAACCUUUAUCGUCAGGUUUGACUUUAAUUAAUUAAUUUAUUUUUUUGGCUUCUAUACUUCUCUUAACUAUUGGAAAUACUUUACGACCAAGGCAUUUGAUCAAUUGAAUGAACAAGUAGAACAAAUGAAUGAAAUGAACCUUGUGGUAGGUUUUGGUAUUAAGUGUACAUUUCUUAAGAAUGAUGAACCUUCGUAAAUGGUCUUCACAUAUGCAUUUGAGGGGAAUUAUAUUUCUGGUACUUGAUAGGAGUCUUGGUGAAAGCUUAAUACGAGAAUCUUUUAAAUAGAAACAUUUUUUCAUUUGCUAAUCUCGGAUUUGCUUGAAGUUCAUUGCAGGGAUUUUUGCAAUUAAAUGAAGUUCACAUUUUUGGGUAUGUGAGGACUUAAAUUUCACAUCAUGAAUUAAGAAAUCGUAUACAAGGAUGAGCUAAAUAAGCUGAUUUGUUACGGCUCAUGAAGAUUAAAUAUGAAAUUUUGAGAAUCUGUAAAAAUUUCAACCACAAUUUUCCUAUUGACCAUAAAUCGUAAUAUCGAAGCAAUGGAUUUCAACCAUACAAAGAUUCCGAAUUCGAAGAAGAUAAGAUGAAGAUGAAGUGAAACUCUGUAGAUCAUCAUUUGAAUAGCAACAGUAUGAACGAAGGACUGUCCUAUAGCUUCCAUCGCUUGUCAUGCCCAAGGAGAAAUUUUAAUUGUAGCUAUAACUGCAGGCCACAAGGUUAGAAAUUUCAAACAUUAAACUACCGUUAGUUUAAUUUUGGACUCUCUUCACUGUUGUUGACUUUGUGAUAUGUAACAUCUAUACGUGUGGCGCUACAAUAGAAGAGGAAAGACUUCCUCACCAACAAUUAUCCUUGAGACACCGCUUUUCACUCUGAGUUGUAGUUAUUCCGUUUUGAAGGUGCCCAAAAACUAUAGACGCUGUAGCUUGUUACCGACUAAUGAUUGUAUUCAGUUUUCAUUGUUGCAUCUAUUCAAUCAAUUGAUGCACUUUACAUUAAGAUUCUUCAUUUUGUAAUGAUUCUUUUUUGCAUUGUCAUUUUAUAGAUUGUGAUUUUAGGUACAAUAAAAGUAUAAAUCACAAAAAACAAAAGGGUAAAUUUUCUGUAGUAUUAUGCUUCUACUUAUUUUAUGAUUUGGUGCAUUUAAACUUUAUGAACUAAGUUGCAAAUUUAUUUAGUUUAAUUUGUUCUUAGGAUACAAAUAUCACAUACCUUGGCUGCUUAAACAUAUGGCAUAAGAAAGCAUUAAAAAAAGUCGACGCUUAUCAUGGACGGAGUGUGCUUCUUAA